CUGGCUUUAUCAUAAGCUUUUUCCUUUAGACUAAGAAGAAAGUUCAUUACAAAAAGACUAUUAAAAUCUUUUUACUGCUUGCAGACCAUUAAAUAAAUAAGAAUGAAAUUUUUCAAAUGCUUUGAUUCACUGAAGUUUAUAAAAAUCACAGGUAAACAGUUUAUUAAAGCAAAACUGCAUAAAGAAAUGAAUCAAACUGAUUGCAGAUGCUAGGACAAAUUAAAGAUCCUACACUGUUAAAAUGUGGACAAUAAUAGUUGAAGAGAGAACUUUUACUUUAAUACAGAACUAAAAACAUUUUAAUGAUUUGUGUUUCUCGUUUUCUCAACUUCAGGUCAGAUAACUGUCGUGAAGAUUGUCAGUUUUCUUCUGGCUGUUUGUCCGUAUCUAUUAGCGACAGUCAUGCUGCUCUUCAAAAUCCAUGAAGCGAGAGUUUCAUCUGAUGUAGACCAAAGCCAGUUUGUCAUAACAGAGGAAGAAACUUCAAUACCAGUUUGAUUUAUUUAGCCUAAUUGCUGUAUGGUUUUAAUCGCUUGCCUCUUCUGUAUUUCUUAAGUAAUAUUUAUAUAUACAAACAAAAUUGUAUGUAUAAAGUUUAAAGAAGAUAACUGUUAAAAUUGUUAAGUGUUCAUGUAAUGCCAAAUAGGGUAUUGUUUAAUCAUGAUGUGAAAUAAUCUUUACUUGUAUUUUCAGUUUUCUGUAAAAUGGUUACAUAGUGUCUAGUUAUUGGGUCCUUCAGUGGUGUUUUGAGGUAUAAUUUUAUUGCAUCGUUGGUUGUUUGAAUUUUUUCCUAAUUUGAUGUUGAUUUCUCUGUCUACUUUGUCUAUGACAAUCUUUUCUUUGUAGUUUCACAAUGUCAAUUUUACAUAUCAUAAUACAGUUUAGUAAUUUAAUUGUUUAGUGGCAAUGUUUAGCAGUUUUGAAACAUCUAAUGACAGUAACAUGAUUAUUUCAUCUCAA